GAAGGCGGCCGGCUGGGUCAGUAUUGACGCUGAGGCACGAGAGCGUGGGGAGCGAACAGGAUUAGAUACCCUGGUAGUCCACGCUGUAACGAUGUAUGCUAGUUGUUGGGCCUUCGGGUUCAGUGACGCAGUUAACGCAGUAAGCAUACCACCUGGGGAGUACGUUCGCAAGAAUGAAACUCAAAGGAAUUGACGGGGGCCCGCACAAGCGGUGGAGCAUGUGGCUUAAUUCGAUGCAACGCGAAGAACCUUACCCGGGCUAAAUCCACGGUGACCGGUCCCGAAACGGACCUUCCCUUCGGGGCACCAUGGAAGGUGCUGCAUGGCUGUCGUCAGCUCGUGCCGUGAGGUGUUGCCUUAAGUGGCGCAACGAGCGCAACCCCUGUGGUUAGUUACCAGCACGUAAUGGUGGGGACUCUAGCCAGACUGCCUACGCAAGUAGUGAGGAAGGUGGGGACGACGUCAAGUCAUCAUGGCCCUUAUGUCCGGGGCUGCACACGUGCUACAAUGGAUGGUACAGAGGGAUGCCACCCCGCAAGGGGGCGCAGAUCUCGAAAGCCAUUCCCAGUUCGGAUUGGAGUCUGCAACUCGACUCCAUGAAGGUGGAAUCGCUAGUAAUCGCGUAUCAGCAAUGACGCGGUGAAUACGUUCCCGGGCCUUGCACACACCGCCCGUC
rnacentral:rRNA from 1 species